AGAGUUUGAUCCUGGCUCAGGACGAACGCUGGCGGCGUGCUUAACACAUGCAAGUCGAACGGAAAGGCCCUUCGGGGUACUCGAGUGGCGAACGGGUGAGUAACACGUGGGUGAUCUGCCCUGCACUUUGGGAUAAGCCUGGGAAACUGGGUCUAAUACCGAAUAGGACCACGCGCUUCAUGGUGUGUGGUGGAAAGCUUUUGCGGUGUGGGAUGGGCCCGCGGCCUAUCAGCUUGUUGGUGGGGUAAUGGCCUACCAAGGCGACGACGGGUAGCCGGCCUGAGAGGGUGACCGGCCACACUGGGACUGAGAUACGGCCCAGACUCCUACGGGAGGCAGCAGAAGGG
rnacentral:rRNA from 1 species